GUUCAGUGAAUAGGAUCCAGAACUAUCAUAUAAGUAACGUAUCGAACAGAAGAAUGAAAACAACAGUAUUAACUAUUUUUGUUCUUUUUGCCUGUGUGUGCUUCUCAUACACCUCUCCUAUUGAUAAUGACGUCGUACAAGACCCGCCCGCAGUUGGAGGUCCGGUGAAGAUGGUAGAGUUGUACAGUGAAUCUAGACGACUAUAUUGUGAUCUUCUUAUGUGCCAUAACACAUGCAGGGCGCUCCGAUAUACAAUUGGGAGAUGUAAUAUUAACAAUGUAUGCGUAUGUAGUUUCUUUUAGCCCUUUUUCCCGUAUAUAUCUAAUGUCUUAACAUAUUGUUAUUUUUAUUUCAAACGAGACGAUAAAAUUAUUAAAAAAAAGAUUACGUCAGUGUAUAGUAUUUACCGCUAUAAAUAAUAUAAACAACAAUAAAAGAUAUAUUUUUUCUGAAAUGUGGCCCCAAAGAAUAAAGUUAAAAUAUAAAAAAUACAUUUUGAUUAUACGGUUACAUAACGAGGGAAAGAACUUUAUCAAAAUAACUUUAUGCUCUUAAUUAAUAUAUACCGUAACUCCAGCUUAGUACAUUCCUCGAUGCCAAAAUAAAAAUGUAUCAACCACCCCAAUACUAAAUUAAAAUUACUUUGAAAUAGUCUUGGCAAUUGUAUAUUUAUUUGCAAAAUAUAA